rnacentral:rRNA from 1 species
AGCGAACGCUGGCGGCAGGCUUAACACAUGCAAGUCGAGCGGGCGUAGCAAUACGUCAGCGGCAGACGGGUGAGUAACACGUGGGAACGUACCUUUUGGUUCGGAACAACUGAGGGAAACUUCAGCUAAUACCGGAUAAGCCCUAACGGGGAAAGAUUUAUCGCCGAAAGAUCGGCCCGCGUCUGAUUAGCUAGUUGGUGAGGUAAUGGCUCACCAAGGCGACGAUCAGUAGCUGGUCUGGGAGGAUGAUCAGCCACACUGGGACUGAGACACGGCCCAGACUCGUACGGGAGGCUGCAGUGGGGAAUAUUGGACAAUGGGGGCAACCCUGAUCCAGCCAUGCCGCGUGAGUGAUGAAGGCCCUAGGGUUGUAAAGCUCUUUUGUGCGGGAAGAUAAUGACGGUACCGCAAGAAUAAGCCCCGGCUAACUUCGUGCCAGCCGCCGCAGUAA